rnacentral:lncRNA from 1 species
GAAGCUAAGGCUCUGGCGGAUGCAGAAGCACAAGCUGCUGCUGAAGCUGAAGCUCAGCAGGCUCUGACUCUGGGGGAGUCCUCUUCUGUGAUCCCUAUGGUUCUUCAGACUCUGAAAGAACUCAAGAAAGAUCAGAAUGAACUCCGGUCCAGAAUGGACAAGCAAGAUACUGUCAACGACAACAUCCAGAAUAUGCUUGCAAUGCUGCUUCAGAGAAUGCCUCCGCCUCCGAACCCCUAGGCACUUAGGAUUUUAUUUUUUUUGCUUGCCUGUUGUUUCUGUUUCUUGCCUUCUCUGGAUCUGAUGUUUUCUUAUUGUCGUUGUGCUUCUAUCUAUGAAUUCAAGUUUUUCUCUUUAUUUUUUUUUUUUACUAUGUCUUUUUGAUUCUGACAAAAAGGGGG